GUGGCACCCAGGGGUGCUGUACCAUAGAGCUACAUCUCCAGCCCUUUGUAUUUUUCAUUUUGAGACAGAGUCUAAGUUACUGAGGCUGGCCUCCAACUUGCAAUCCUCCUGCCUCAGCCUCUGAGUUGUUGGAAUUACAGUCAUGCACUACUGCUGCAGGCUCAUGGCUCAUUUUUCAGGGAAAAGGAUCUAGCACUUUCAUCAGAUUCCUUUGUUAUGGGCCAGGCUAUAUGGGCAAUGACCAAACAGACUCCAUUUUACCCUGAGACUCCAUAGCAUGUAAGAAAUUCUUUUCCCAUGGGAAAGCCCCGCCUCUGUUCCCACUAAUAGUUUCCUAGCAGAGCAUACUUGGCAACACAAAAUAGUAAUUCUUAUACAAUGUAAAAUUGUUCUCUUUGCUUUCCAUUUUUCUGGGGCAAUGCACAUUGUCAGAGAUCGAUUGUCUAGACGUUAGUAACCACUCUCUAACUUGUGCUGAACUAGGGUCAUUUUGACCUCCUUCCCUUCUGCUUGCUUGCUACUAUGCCAACCUGGAAAUUCCCAUGGGAAAUACCAACUUACCCAUUGCAUUGUCUCGCUAACUGCCCAAUUCAGCUUCUGUACCUGCAUUCUUGCAGCUACGUCAACCCAGAUGUGGUUUUUGCCUUUAAAUAUCCUAAAAUGCUCAGGCUCGGGGCUUUUCCUUGUAGAGACAGUUAGGGGUGCUGCAGGGAGCAGUCACCAGCCGGCUAGCUAAAUAAAGACUCUUCAAUUUGGACAAAACUGGGACUCGGUAUGCUUUCUGAGUGACCUGCCCCGAAAUGUUUGGAGGCCCCAGCGAGAUCUACUUUUCUUGCAUUCUGGCGGUCGCACAAGGAAGGUGAGGUGGUGGAACGAUCACCUAGGGGAAGGCCUCUGAAAAGAUGUUCCUCAGCCCUAGGGCCAUCUCUCCACCAACCCCCACCCACCUAAAACUACAAGAGUCAUCUGUUUCCCCAGGGAAGGUAUCAAUGACUUGGCUGGGAGUGUAACUCAGCGGUAGUUUGCCUAGCAUGCAUGAGGACCCAGGUUUGGUCUCCAUCACCACCAAAAUAAGCAAAUGGCAGCUGUAUUGAGACAUGAUCCAUAUGCCUUCAAGUCUACCCAUCUGUAGUGCCCACUUCCGUGUCUUGUUAGUAUGUCCCCAGAGUGCAACAUUGGGACUCAGCACCUGCCACACCCAGGGAGCCUGUGCUCACAGUUAUCCAGCCAUCACUCCAUGCCCCUGGCCCUGGCAACCCCUCACCUACUUGCUCGCUCUGUGGAUUUGGCUGUUCUGGACAUUUUGUGUAAAUGGAACCAUAUAAUGUGUCUUUUGUGACUGGCAUCUCUCACCUAGCAUAAGGAUCUCAGGGCACAUCCCUUCUGAAACACACAUCACUGUGCUAGCCCUCUCCAUGGCUGAAUAACAUUCCAGCCCAUGUCCGCCCACGCACAGCUGAGGGCCAUCUGGGUUGUGUCCAUCUUUUGGCUAUUGUGCACAUGCUUCUGUGAACAUCUGCAUAUGACUUUGUGUGGACAGUGUCAUUUCUCCUGGGUAAGCACCUAGGAGUGGACUAGCUGUGUCAUGUCGUAACUCUUGAGCCAUUUGACUCUAUCCACAACAGCUGCAUCAUGUGACACACCCACCUACAGUGUGUGAAGGUUACGGCUGCACUAAAUUCUUCGCUUUCACUUGUUAUUGUUAUGUUUGGUGCUAGGAUAGAACCUAGGGUCUUGCACAUGCUAGGCCUGUGCUAUACCACUGAACCACCCAUCAGCCCUUUUUUUCUUGAGACAGGUCUUGUUAAGUUCUCCAGGCUGCCCUCGAACUCGCAUCCUCCUGCCUCAGCCUCACAAGUCACUGGGAUCGCAGACACACCACCACUGCUCAGCCUGUUACCAUCUUCUCCUUAACCACUGAGCCACAUCCCCAGUCUUUUUUUAUUUUUUGAGACAGGGUCUCAUAAAGUUGAUUGGGGCCUCCCUAAAUUGCUGAGGCUGGCUUUGAACUUGCAAUCCUCCUGCCUCAGCCACCCCAGCCACUGGGAUUGACAGCCGUGCACCCUGGUGCCCGGCAUGUUGCUGUCUUCUUGCCAGCCCUCCUACUGGGAUGAAGUGCCUCUCCUGAGGUUUUGAUUUCCAUCCCUGAUGGUGGUGAUGUGAAACGUCUUUGCCUGUGUUCAGUGGCCGUUUCUAUAUCUUCUUUGGAAGAAUGCCUGUUCAGCUCCUUUGCCCAUUUUUAACUGGGUUAUGUGUCCUUUUGUUCUUCAUAUGUUCCAGACGUCAGCCCCUUGGCAGAUCCUUGGUUUUCAAAAAAAGUCUUUUUCCAUCCUGCAAGUUGCCUUCCACUUUGUGUGUGCACGUGCAGGCUUGUGGGUGUGCAGUGUGGGAUGGAACCCAGGCCUCUGUGCGCACUAAGCUAGACCUCAGCCUUGUCUUUUCACUUUUUUUUUUUUUGGCAGUGCUGGACCUUGCAGCACUAGGCAAGCACCCACCACUGACCUAGCUACACUCCCAGCCCAUCUUUCCACUUCUUUUAAUGUGUGUGUGGUGCUGGGGACUGAGCCCAGGGCCUGGUGCAGGUGAGGCAAGCGCUCUACAGAUGGAGCUGUGUCCGCAGCUUUUCACUUUGGAUGGUGUUCUUUGAAGCAUGAAAGUUUUUAAUUUGAA